rnacentral:rRNA from 1 species
GACGAACGCUGGCGGCGUGCUUAACACAUGCAAGUCGAACGGUAAGGCCCUUCGGGGUACACGAGUGGCGAACGGGUGAGUAACACGUGGGUGAUCUACCCUGCACUUCGGGAUAAGCCUGGGAAACUGGGUCUAAUACCGGAUAGGACUCCGGACUGCAUGGUCUGGGGUGGAAAGCUUUUGCGGUGUGGGAUGGGCCCGCGGCCUAUCAGCUUGUUGGUGGGGUGAUGGCCUACCAAGGCGACGACGGGUAGCCGGCCUGAGAGGGUGACCGGCCACACUGGGACUGAGAUACUGCCCAGACUCCUACGGGAGGCAGCAGUGGGGAAUAUUGCACAAUGGGCGCAAGCCCGAUGCAGCGACGCCGCGUGAGGGAUGACGGCCUUCGGGUUGUAAACCUCUUUCAGCACCGACGAAGCGCAAGUGACGGUAGGUGCAGAAGAAGGACCGGCCAACUACGUGCCAGCCGCCGCCGUAA